CAGAAAUGUCAUGAAGUUCCUCAUGAAUUUAAAAUAUACGAGCACCGAGAAGAUGAGGGUCUCAGCCAGUGUCAAUGCUGCUUCCCUCACUCCCAUCAGUCCAUAAUGAUGCCGGAAGAGAUGGAGUUUUCUUAAGGAGUAUCCAUGGAGAAAUGGGCCCCACAGGUUCCGUGAAGGACCACCAUUCCCCUACCCCAGGCAGCUUUAUACACUUCCUUCAGCUGAGACAUGGAGGCCACAGCCUGACUCACACCUUCAAAAAUCAGAAGCAAGGUGGCUACACUUGAAGACAGUGGAGAAUAGAUAUCCCCCAAAGCCAACAAGAACUACUACAGGCCCUAAGCAAUGAGACAUCUUGGGGAGCAGGAAACUGGCUUUGAGCCCCUGAAGAGUGCAGGGAGGGGUCCCCAACAACCACCAGGAGGCAGGCAUUUCCUCUAAGACAUGGGAUCUGGGAGAAAGCUCCCAACAGGAAGACUCUUGGAGAAGCCCAAGAAAAUGCCUCACAAAACAAACAGACUUCAAUAUAUACGGACCUGAAGGACACAAGGCCAGCUCAGAAUCCUGGCUGGCUCCACCUUUACCAUUCUUUCUCACCCUUCUCCAUCCACAGGUCAGACAUACCAAGUGAGAAAAGAGGUAUAGUACAGCAGGAAUCUUAAAAAGUUCUUAUUAAUAAAAUCAAACCUGAGGCAGGUAUUGGGGUGAACGCUGGAAGA